rnacentral:rRNA from 1 species
CCCUAUUAUCGAACAGAAGAUACAAAUUGGAGAGUAGGAUGAAUCUGAAAACUAUCCAGAAUGGCGGUUUUUUUUUUGUUCAGAAAGAUGUGUUCUUAAAACGAAAAUGCACGAAAAUCUUUCUUGUUUUUGAACAUUCAUCCUGUACACCGCCGUCUGAAGGGUAAAGAAAAAAAUUUAAUCCUCCUCCCAAACAAACGGGAAUAAGUCAGGUAAGGUGCAGACUAUAAACAAGACUGAAUGCAUUUCACUAAAAAGAUCAAGGGGAGGGUUGAAAGAUCCUAACCAAGAAGAAUUUGAAAGUAAAGGUUUUUUAUUAAAAAGCCUUGAAUUAAAUACAAAAAAAAUGUACAC